GUGGGGAAUCUUAGACAAUGGGCGCAAGCCUGAUCUAGCCAUGCCGCGUGAGCGAUGAAGGCCUUAGGGUUGUAAAGCUCUUUCGUGGGGGAAGAUAAUGACUGUACCCCAAGAAGAAGCCCCGGCUAACUCCGUGCCAGCAGCCGCGGUAAUACGGAGGGGGCUAGCGUUGUUCGGAAUUACUGGGCGUAAAGCGCACGUAGGCGGACUGGAAAGUCAGGGGUGAAAUCCCGGGGCUCAACCCCGGAACUGCCUUUGAAACUCCCAGUCUUGAGUUCGAGAGAGGUGGGUGGAAUUCCGAGUGUAGAGGUGAAAUUCGUAGAUAUUCGGAGGAACACCAGUGGCGAAGGCGGCUCACUGGCUCGAUACUGACGCUGAGGUGCGAAAGCGUGGGGAGCAAACAGGAUUAGAAACCCUUGUAGUCC
rnacentral:rRNA from 1 species